rnacentral:rRNA from 1 species
CACGUAGGGCGCAAGCGUUGUCCGGAAUUAUUGGGCGUAAAGAGCUCGUAGGCGGUCUGUUGCGUCCGCUGUGAAAUCUCGGGGCUUAACCCCGAGCCUGCAGUGGAUACGGGCAGACUAGAGGUAGGUAGGGGAGAAUGGAAUUCCCGGUGUAGCGGUGAAAUGCGCAGAUAUCGGGAGGAACACCGGUGGCGAAGGCGGUUCUCUGGGCCUUACCUGACGCUGAGGAGCGAAGGCGUGGGGGAGCGAACAGG